rnacentral:rRNA from 1 species
UACGGAGGGUGCAAGCGUUAUCCGGAUUCACUGGGUUUAAAGGGUGCGUAGGCGGACAGGUAAGUCAGUGGUGAAAUCUCUGGGCUUAACUCAGAAACUGCCGUUGAUACUAUUUGUCUUGAAUGUUGUGGAGGUGAGCGGAAUAUGUCAUGUAGCGGUGAAAUGCUUAGAUAUGACAUAGAACAUCGAUUGCGAAGGCAGCUCGCUACGCAAAUAUUGACACUGAGGCACGAAAGCGUGGGGAUCAAACAGG